rnacentral:rRNA from 1 species
AGAGUUUGAUCCUGGCUCAGGAUGAACGCUAGCGGCAGGCCUAACACAUGCAAGUCGAGGGGUAACGAUAAAGUAGCUUGCUACUUUAGGCGACGACCGGCGCACGGGUGAGUAACGCGUAUGCAACCUACCUUUAACAGGGGGAUAGCUCGAAGAAAUUCGGAUUAAUACCCCAUAACAUUUUGAAUCGACAUCGAUUUAAUCUUAAAGCUCCGGCGGUUAGAGAUGGGCAUGCGUGACAUUAGAUUGUUGGUGAGGUAACGGCUCACCAAGUCAGCGAUGUCUAGGGGGUCUGAGAGGAUUAUCCCCCACACUGGAACUGAGACACGGUCCAGACUCCUACGGGAGGCAGCAGUGAGGAAUAUUGGUCAAUGGGGGCAACCCUGAACCAGCCAUGCCGCGUGAAGGAUGAAGGCUUUAUGAGUUGUAAACUUCUUUUAUAUAGGGCGAACCAUUUUUACGUGUUAGAAAUCUGACAGUACUAUAUGAAUAAGCAUCGGCUAACUCCGUGCCAGCAGCCGCGGUAAUACGGAGGAUGCGAGCGUUAUCCGGAUUUACUGGGUUUAAAGGGUGCGCAGGCGGGUCUAUAAGUCAGUGGUGAAAGUCUGUCGCUUAACGAAAGGAUUGCCAUUGAAACUGUAGGUCUUGAGUAUAAUUGAGGCAGGCGGAAUGUGCAGUGUAGCGGUGAAAUGCUUAGAUAUUGCACAGAACACCGAUUCCGAAGGGAGCUUGCUAAGUUAUUACUGACGCUGAGUCACGAAAGCGUGGGGAUCAAACAGGAUUAGAUACCCUGGUAGUCCACGCCGUAAACUAUGAUCACUCGUUGUUGGCGACACACAGUCAGCGGCUAAGCGAAAGCAUUAAGUGAUCCACCUGGGGAGUACGUCGGCAACGAUGAAACUCAAAGGAAUUGACGGGGGCCCGCACAAGCGGAGGAACAUGUGGUUUAAUUCGAUGAUACGCGAGGAACCUUACCUGGGCUUAAAUGGGAGAGGAUCGCCGCCGAAAGGUGGUUUUCCGCAAGGACUUCUUUCAAGGUGCUGCAUGGUUGUCGUCAGCUCGUGCCGUGAGGUGUCGGAUUAAGUUCCAUAACGAGCGCAACCCUCAUCGUUAGUUGCCAGCGAGUAAUGUCGGGGACUCUAACGAAACUGCCAGAGUAAUCUGGAGGAAGGUGGGGAUGAGGUCAAAUCAGCACGGCCCUUACGUCCAGGGCUACACACGUGUUACAAUGGUCGGUACAGAGGGCAGCUACCACGUGAGUGGAUGCGAAUCUCUAAAAACCGGUCUCAGUUCGGAUCGAAGUCUGCAACUCGACUUCGUGAAGUUGGAUUCGCUAGUAAUCGCGCAUCAGCUAUGGCGCGGUGAAUACGUUCCCGGGCCUUGUACACACCGCCCGUCAAGCCAUGGAAGCUGGGGGUACCUAAAGUACGUGACCGCAAGGAGCGUCCUAGGGUAAAACUGGUAACUGGGGCUAAGUCGAAACAAGGUA